rnacentral:rRNA from 1 species
AGAGUUUGAUCCUGGCUCAGGAUAAACGCUAGCGGCGCGCCUAAUGCAUGCAAGUCGAGCGAUGAGGUCCUUCGGGGCCAUCAGCGGCAAACGGGUGAGUAACACAUGGGUAACCUGCCUUCAAGCCGGGGAUAACGGAUGGAAACGUUCGCUAAUACCCGAUGCGUACGCUUAAGAGGAGACUGUGAGCGUAGAAAGUUACGGCGCUUGGAGAGGGGCCCGUGGCCCAUCAGUUAGUUGGUAGGGUAACGGCCUACCAAGGCGAAGACGGGUAGGGGGUGUGAGAGCACGGCCCCCCACAAUGGGACUGAGAGACGGCCCAUACUCUUACGGGAGGCAGCAGCAGGGAAUCUUGCGCAAUGGACGGGAGUCCGACGCAGCGACGCCGCGUGGGUGAAGACGGCCUUCGGGUUGUAAAGCCCUUUUCUGGGGGAAGAGAGAGGACGGUACUCCAGGAAUAAGCCUCGGCGAACUACGUGCCAGCAGCCGCGGUAAAACGUAGGAGGCGAGCGUUAUCCGGAUUUAUUGGGCGUAAAGCGCGUGCAGGCUGUUUGGAAAGUUGAAUGUGAAAUCUCCUGGCUUAACUGGGAGGGGUCGUUCAAAACUACCAAGCUAGAGAAUGGGAGAGGGAAGUGGAAUUCCGGGUGUAGUGGUGAAAUGCGUAGAUAUCCGGAGGAACACCAGUGGCGAAAGCGGCUUCCUAGACCAUUUCUGACGCUCAGACGCGAAAGCUAGGGGAGCGAACGGGAUUAGAGACCCCGGUAGUCCUAGCUGUAAACGAUGUAGACUUGGCGGUUGGGCGGAGUUAAAUCUGCCAGUGCCGGAGCUAACGCGUUAAGUCUACCGCCUGGGGACUACGACCGCAAGGGUAAACUCAAAUGAAUU